CUCCUAAUUUGCUUUUCUAUAUGAAUUGAAGAUUGAUUCACUAACUGACUAAUAAAUAAUAAGUAUAACUAAAACACAAAAUACAUCAUUGCAUAUUUGCAUCAAAGUACAAACAAUACUCAAAUCAAUUAUCAACAGACACUCAACAAAUCAACAGACAACAAUUCAAUAGUCAACAAAGGGUUUGCAACAAAAAGAAUUCAACAUUCAACCAAAAAAAUUCAAGUAUUCAACUCACCCACGCAGCUUGCUCGGCCUCGAUUGUUCCUGACUUCGCACCAGUUCGCACACGGUCCACCAUCCACAACUGCUCGUACAGUCGCACUCGUACUUCCCACCCAUUUCGUUCGCAGGCGCUGCAGCUACUGCUUUUGCUUGGAAUGGAAAUAUGGAAUUGGAAGAAAUGGUUUGCACUUCGUCUUUGCUUGCUGCCGGUUUCAAAUGUUGGGGAAUAGGGAUUUGAAGUCUGGGUUGGGGGGAAAUUAAUACCAUGGAUGCCGGACCAAUGAUUUCCUCUAUUGGGCCAAUUUUUUUUUUUUUUAAACAAAAAAGGCCCAGUUCACCAGCCCAAGCCCCAAUGAUAAGAAAAUGGAAAUCUCCUUCGUUCUUCCCCUUCAACCUUUGUCUCAGCAUUCUGCAACUUAGCAACUACCUGCGCCUGCAACCCGGUAGUCUCGGCGGCAACUGAAGGUCCCGGCGGAUCCAGCACGCGCGGCCGCGGGUGCUGCCAGGUGCUGGUCCGCCACUGCUUUUACUAACUCAAUUUACUAGGACUUUGUUUUUUUUUUAAUAUAAAAUAAGAAAUACUUUUACUAACUCGAUUAGAAUAUUUCCUGCUAAUAAUGUAUUAUAAAAUUAAGAGAAAGACGAAAGAACAAUAAAAACAUAUAGAGUUAAAAUUCAAAUAUAUAUUUCAUUAGAAAAAUGAACCAUAUAUACACGUAUGGUUUCAAUGAGAAUAACAGACUGAAUAUAAUACUCUUCUUAAUUAAGUAGAAAGCCGUAUAGAUUUUCAUACAUAUAUAGCCUUUAAACUUUAUUCUCUCUACCCAUGGGUGAGCCGCCACCGUCCUCAACCAAUAAUCAUCACCAUCCACUACCCAAACCACCUAACUCGCCCACCACUGGUAGCCUCUCACUGCCCUCCACAACAUCGGACCUUUACCAACCCACAACACAGCCGGAAACAGUCCCAAUCUCCACAGAACUGCAAGCCUUAACACCAAACAUUCUUCUCUCCCGCUUCCCAUACCACCGAACGCCACCACCACAGACGACGGCAAGAGCCCCUCUCCACAAUUCCCUGUCUCACCUAGCCUCACGCUACCCAUAUCAGCCACAACAUCCAAAGAACCUCUCCUAUUUGUGAUCUACCUUUCUAGCCGCACCAAAACUUCAAAUCACCCACCGAACAUCUCUCUUCCCCAAACCUGCGGUUUCAGUGGAGUUGUAGCAACAAAGAUUGCUAAGAAUCUCAGUGUCCAGCAAGCGGGUUCCUUCCAGACGAGAUUUUGUGAAAAUGUGAUUCAAUACGUAAUGCUAAUGUUUUGCAAUUGAAUACUUUCACCCCCAAUCAUUCAAUUGAG
rnacentral:lncRNA from 1 species